CGAUCAUUCUGACAAUGAUCACGGCCAAGAAGAUCAAAGUGUUCAAAGGGAAUUCUUGAUAUCCGCCUGAAGGACUAUUCACCACCUUAGAGACAUCGACAUAAUCAUCAAUGUUACAGUCAGGUAUACCAUUUGCUUGCUUUGAACUGAACUGAAGCAUAGCCUUUUCGGAUUCUAGAGAUACCUUCUUGGCAUUCUUAUGAGAGGAAUAUUUGUCGUAAACUUUGCAAGGCUCAGAAUCAAGCUGGAACAGUGGUCUACUAGAAUUUUGAGACAUUAACACUUUGUCAGCUCCAUGGAGUAGCCACGGUUUCACCAGACCCGCGAAG
rnacentral:lncRNA from 1 species